rnacentral:rRNA from 7 species
GCCUACGGCCAUCCCACCCUGGUAACGCCCGAUCUCGUCUGAUCUCGGAAGCUAAGCAGGGUCGGGCCUGGUUAGUACUUGGAUGGGAGACUCCUGGGAAUACCGGGUGCUGUAGGCU